rnacentral:rRNA from 1 species
CGGGAAGAGCCCAUCGCUGAAUCCCCGGACCCGACCGGGCUCGGGGAGUUGUGGCGUGAGGCGGCUUCGGGCGCGCGAGUCCACGACGCCGAGGUCCUCCUGAUCGGGGCACCUCAACCCAGAGCGGGUGUCAGGCCCGUUCAGGCGUCGGGUCUCUCGGGCCUGGAGCCACCAAGAGUCGGGUUGUUUUGGAAUGCAGCCCAAAGAGGGGUGGUGAACUCCAUCCAAG